rnacentral:sRNA from 1 species
UGAGGGAGGUGCGCUUAUGUCGAAGACAUAAUUCUACAUCGCACCGACCGACUGGCCGCCGAGCGAAGGCGAGGGGGCAUUACAUGUU